rfam:Dipodomys ordii contig_34146, whole genome shotgun sequence.
AGCUUUGCGCAGUGGCAGUAUGGGAGCCAAUGAGGUUUAUCCGAGGCGCGAUUAUUGCUAAUUGAAAAAUAAUUAUGUUCCAAACUGGCCCUCAUCUACUAAGGUGUGAUACAGGAUCUUCCUGGGCGAAGUUCCAGUAUUUCAGAAGUUAUACAUAAA